GGACGAACGCUGGCGGCGUGCCUAACACAUGCAAGUCGAACGGAGUUAAGUCUUCGGAUUUAACUUAGUGGCGAACGGGUGAGUAACGCGUGAGGAACCUGCCUCUCAGUGGGGGGACAACAGUUGGAAACGACUGCUAAUACCGCAUAACAUACCGAGGGGGCAUCCCUUUGGUAUCAAAGCUUAAUGUGCUGAAAGAUGGCUUCGCGUCUGAUUAGCUAGAUGGCGGGGUAACGGCCCACCAUGGCAACGAUCAGUAGCCGGACUGAGAGGUUGAACGGCCACAUUGGGACUGAGAUACGGCCCAGACUCCUACGGGAGGCAGCAGUGGGGAAUAUUGGGCAAUGGGGGAAACCCUGACCCAGCAACGCCGCGUGAAGGAAGAAGGCCUUCGGGUUGUAAACUUCUUUUAGCAGGGACGAAGGACGUGACGGUACCUGCAGAAAAAGCAACGGCUAACUACGUG
rnacentral:rRNA from 1 species